rnacentral:rRNA from 1 species
CCUGCCGGCGACCGGCGCACGGGUGAGUAACACGUAUGUAACCUGCCCUAUGCAGGGGGAUAACCCGGAGAAAUCCGGCCUAAUACCGCGUAACACCUUUUGGGAGCAUUCCCGGGAGGUUAAAGGAGAGAUCCGGCAUAGGAUGGACAUGCGUCGCAUUAGGUAGACGGCGGGGUAACGGCCUACCGUGCCGACGAUGCGUAGGGGUUCUGAGAGGAAGGCCCCCCACACUGGUACUGAGACACGGACCAGACUCCUACGGGAGGCAGCAG